rnacentral:rRNA from 1 species
GCCAAUGGCACUGCCCGGUAGCUAAAUGCGGAAGAGAUAAGUGCUGAAAGCAUCUAAGCACGAAACUUGCCCCGAGAUGAGUUCUCCCUGACCCUUUAAGGGUCCUGAAGGAACGUUGAAGACGACGACGUUGAUAGGCCGGGUGUGUAAGCGCAGCGAUGCGUUGAGCUAACCGGUACUAAUGAACCGUGAGGCUUAACCUUACAACGCCGAAGCUGUU